rnacentral:rRNA from 1 species
CGUAGGGGGCGAGCGUUGUCCGGAUUUAUUGGGCGUAAAGAGCUCGUAGGCGGCUCAGUAAGUCGGGUGUGAAAGCCCCGAGCUCAACUCGGGGAGGCCACCCGAUACUGCUGUGGCUAGAGUCCGGUAGGGGAGCGUGGAAUUCCCGGUGUAGCGGUGAAAUGCGCAGAUAUCGGGAGGAACACCAGCGGCGAAGGCGGCGCUCUGGGCCGGAACUGACGCUGAGGAGCGAAAGCGUGGGGAGCGAACAGGAUU